rnacentral:rRNA from 1 species
UACGAAGGGGGCUAGCGUUGUUCGGAAUUACUGGGCGUAAAGCGCGCGCAGGCGGCUAUCCAAGUCAGUGGUGAAAGCCCGGAGCUCAACCCCGGAACUGCCAUUGAAACUGUUUAGCUUGAGGAUGAGAGAGGUGAGUGGAAUUCCCAGUGUAGAGGUGAAAUUCGUAGAUAUUGGGAAGAACACCGGUGGCGAAGGCGGCUCACUGGCUCAUUACUGACGCUCAGGCGCGAUAGCGUGGGGAUCAAACAGG